rnacentral:misc_RNA from 1 species
AUCCUGUUUUCUUUUUGGCUUAAACAUUUCUUCAUCCGAGGGAAUUCAUACACCAAAAUAGGAUAAAUCAUAUCCAAUCAAAGAGACGAUCAAGAAAUCUACCAAUUCAUUUUCACGGAGUUGGACCACAAAAAUAGCAAUUGCAUCAUGUUUAGUCUCUACAACUGUACCAACUUAGGUCCAUCCCCAAAACAUCAAUUCAAGAGAGACUUAGAUCCAAACAAAGAUAGAUACAUGUCUUUUAAGGUUCAUUGAUGACUUCUAAAUAGCAUCUUCUACUCCGUAAUUUUUUUUAAUGAAACAGGUAAAAGAACUUCUAAUUUGCUGCAAAGAUUAAUCUUGAUGCCAUGUGUCUCACUUUUCAUCUGUUCCCCUCAUUCAUCUCCUAUCCUGUUUUCUUUUUGGCUUA